rnacentral:lncRNA from 1 species
AGAAGAAAGCUCUACUCAAUGGACUACUGAUAUUUCUGAGGUUCAGCACCGAAUCAAGUUACAGAUCGUUGCUUGUCUUUUGAGGUGAGAAUUCUUGUUAUUCAGAAUUCUUGUUAAUUGGUAUCAGAUAAGUAUCAUGUCAUUAUCUAAUCCAUCUUCCAAUCAUGCUCAUUGCUUCCCCCUUUCUGGUUUCAGUUCCAGUUUGCUGAUGGGUGACAGUCUCAGUUUUCUGUUGGAAUUUGGGUAAGUUAACUGCUUUAUCACAACUUUACAAGCCAUGAGAGGAUAAAGCAAUUAACCAUCUAUUUGAUAAGAACUAGAAGAAUAGCUAGCUUCUUAAUUUUAUUUGAUAAGAAACUUGAAAGAAUGAAAGCUAGUAUUCUGUUUUUCCAUGAAAGACUUGAUGCCUAUAAUUCAGAACUGUGAAAACAUAACAAACACUAAUAUCUUUGAGGGCAAAAGCAGAACAUAACUGAUUUUUGAA